rnacentral:rRNA from 1 species
UACGGGGGGGGGCAAGCGUUGUUCGGAAUUACUGGGCGUAAAGGGCUCGUAGGCGGCCAACUAAGUCAGACGUGAAAUCCCUCGGCUUAACCGGGGAACUGCGUCUGAUACUGGAUGGCUAGAGUGUGGGAGAGGGAUGCGGAAUUCCAGGUGUAGCGGUGAAAUGCGUAGAUAUCUGGAGGAACACCGGUGGCGAAGGCGGCAUCCUGGACCACGACUGACGCUGAGGCGCGAAAGCGUGGGGAGCAAACAGG